rnacentral:rRNA from 1 species
ACUAACAGGAUUCCCCUAGUAACUGCGAGUGAAGCGGGAAAAGCUCAAAUUUAAAAUCUGGCGGUCUCUGGCCGUCCGAGUUGUAAUCUAGAGAAGUAAUGCCCGUGCUGGACCGUGUAUAAGUCUCCUGGGAUGGGGCGUCAUAGAGGGUGAGAAUCCCGUCUUUGACACGGACUACCAGUGCAUUGUGGUAUGCUCUCAAAGAGUCGAGUUGUUUGGGAAUGCAGCUCAAAAUGGGUGGUAAAUUCCAUCUAAAGCUAAAUAUUGGCGAGAGACCGAUAGCGAACAAGUACCGUGAGGGAAAGAUGAAAAGAACUUUGGAAAGAGAGUUAAACAGUACGUGAAAUUGCUGAAAGGGAAACGCUUGAAGUCAGUCGCGUUGGCCGGGGAUCAGCCUUGCUUUUGCAUGGUGUACUUUCCGGUUGACGGGUCAGCAUCAAUUUUGACCGCUGGAAAAGGGCUUGGGGAAUGUGGCAGCUUCGGCUGUGUUAUAGCCCCUAGUCACAUACGGCGGUUGGGAUUGAGGAACUCAGCACGCCGCAAGGCCGGGUUUCGACCACGUCCGUGCUUAGGAUGCUGGCAUAAUGGCUUUAAGCGACCCGUCUUGAAACACGGACCAAGGAGUCUAACAUGCCUGCGAGUAUUUGGGUGGAAAACCCAAGUGCGCAAUGAAAGUGAAAGUUGAGAUCCCUGUCGUGGGGAGCAUCGACGCCCGGACCAGAACUUUUGGGACGGAUCCGCGGUGGAGCAUGUAUGUUGGGACCCGAAAGAUGGUGAACUAUGCCUGAAUAGGGUGAAGCCAGAGGAAACUCUGGUGGAGGCUCGUAGCGAUUCUGACGUGCAAAUCGAUCGUCAAAUUUGGGUAUAGG